AUUGAACGCUGGCGGCAUGCUUUACACAUGCAAGUCGAACGGUAACAGGCCUUCGGGUGCUGACGAGUGGCGAACGGGUGAGUAAUUCAUCGGAACGUACCCAGAGGUGGGGGAUAACGCAGCGAAAGCUGUGCUAAUACCGCAUGUGAUCUGAGGAUGAAAGCGGGGGACCGAGCAGCAAUGUUUGGCCUCGCGCCUUUGGAGCGGCCGAUGUCGGAUUAGCUAGUUGGUGGGGUAAAGGCCUACCAAGGCGACGAUCCGUAGCUGGUCUGAGAGGACGACCAGCCACACUGGGACUGAGACACGGCCCAGACUCCUACGGGAGGCAGCAGUGGGGAAUUUUGGACAAUGGGCGCAAGCCUGAUCCAGCAAUGCCGCGUGCGGGAAGAAGGCCUUCGGGUUGUAAACCGCUUUUGGCAGGAACGAAACGGUGUCCGCUAAUACCGGGCGCUAAUGACGGUACCUGCAGAAUAAGCACCGGCUAACUACGUG
rnacentral:rRNA from 1 species